UACAGGGGGGGCAAGCGUUGUUCGGAAUUACUGGGCGUAAAGGGCCAGUAGGCGGCCAACUAAGUCACACGUGAAAUCCCCGGGCUUAACCCGGGAACUGCGUGUGAUACUGGAUGGCUUGAAUUCGGGAGAGGGAUGCAGAAUUCCAGGUGUAGCGGUGAAAUGCGUAGAUAUCUGGAGGAAUACCGGUGGCGAAGGCGGCAUCCUGGACCGACAUUGACGCUGAACGGCGAAAGCUAGGGGAGCAAACGGG
rnacentral:rRNA from 1 species